AUAUAGUUUUUAUAUAGUAUAUAAAGUUAUUAUAUCAUUAAUUAAUAAAGUAUAUAAUUAAAUAAGUCAUAAAUUAAAUUUGUAUAUAAAGUUGUUUGUUUCGGGGAGAUUUCCGUAUCGUGAUCAGUGGCAGAAUAAUCCCCAAGUCCUGGAAACUUCUGAGAAACUAAAAAGAAACAUCACAAAAAGGGACCAACUCAAAAGUUUUGAGCUGCUACUCUUAAUAAUACUACAUCUGAUGCCAUAAAAUUGACUCUCCUUUUCAUACUCAAAGCAUUCUCUGAUGUUCAAUUUGUUAUUGAGCAGAGUGACGGAAACAUAAGGAGUCAAACCCACAGCUGCUGCUCCAUCAUCAUUUUUGUAUACCUGCUGUUUCAGCUAUGUGAAAACGAUGGAAACAUAAGGAGUCAAACCCACAGCUGCUGCUCCAUCAUCAUUUUUGUAUACCUGCUGUUUCAGCUAUGUGAAAACUUGUUGCAGGCCAAGACUCUCUCCCUAAGUUUCUUUUAUUGGGAAUGAUCUACUGUUACAGUUUUCCAAUGGUUGAUCCCAAUUUUAUGUGACAUUUUUUCAACUGUAUCAAGUCACCUCAUGUUUGGUCUGCCCGUUUGCCAUUUUUUUUUUCUUUAGGUUUAAAUUAUUGUACCUGUAAAUAUGUCCAAGUUAUCUUAAUUGAUAUACCUUUUUAGUUUUCACAAUGUUUGGUUAUUAUACUCCAGACAUUAAUUUUUUGACAGUGCCAAAUAUUUUUUAUUCAAAUAUUUUUUUUUCUCUCAGAACUUGUUUUCCUUUGUUUUGUUCAUAGUCCAGAAUGCGCUUCCUCACAUAAUUAUUUGUUUUACUAAAGUUUUAUAUUGAUAAGUCUUUAAUUUAUGCUUAAGUUUUUUAAUUUAAAGUGAUUUCUUAAUCCAUAUUAACAUUUGAUUGCUAUAUUUAAUCAAUUAUUCUAAUAUUUAAACUGUUAUACUGAGUCUUUAAUAACUUUUUCCAAUGACAUGGAAUCUCACUCCUAUAGAUAUUCGUAUGAGUUUUACUUUGUCUAGUUUUACCUUGCAUUUAACUCUAUUAAGAGUCAUCUUAGUAAGAUUUCUCUAGUUUCAUGGGUAUUUCUAAGUCGAGUAUUGCAUAAUAUAAUUUUGUUCUUUCUAUGCCAUCAUAUGUUGUCUUAAAGUCAAAAAAUUUAUGGUAUGUAUAAAUAUUAAUUUCUUUCCUUUUUUCCCCAGAUUUGUAUGAUUGUGUGCAUCUGGUCUUGAUAUUUCGUUUUUUAAUCCCCAUUGAUAAUUUUUGAAGGCUUUUGCAAUGUAUGGUAAUAGUCUGUGGUAUAAAAUGUUUGGUAGGAUCUUAAAUGCUUUGUUUAAAAGGGUGAUUACUCUGUAGUUGCUACACUCUUAAAUUUGUCUCUUUUUUAUGUCUUGAACGCAUGGCCCUAUACUCCCAUUCAAUGGGCAUUUGUUUCAUGGUCUUGACACAGAUUUUAAUUGUUUGUGUUCUUAUAUAUAAACAAACAUAACUUUUAGUUUUUUACUCUCCAAUGAUAAUGGAAGAACUGUAACUGUUAUGGUACCAGAACGACAUAUGAAAUACUGUUGUGAAGGCUCAUUGGGAUGAAACUGUAAAGAAGCUGUUACAUAAAGUUGAAAAAAUGUCGUAAGAAAUACUAACAUUUUAGUUUUCAAAGAACAGUUUUAAAGUUUACAUUUAAAGUAUGGUAUAGUUUUUAUAUGUUUGUUUCUUAAGUAAAUUAUGAUACAAUGUAAUAAAAAUAAAAUGUGAAAUUAAUCACUCUUGAAGUUUACUUUUUUACAAUGUAUGAAAUCAUGUAAUUUGGAUGGGGAUAUUUAAUAUAGUAUUCUAUAUUUAUAAUAUUUUACUAUUCUCUAAUGUUAUGUAAACUUUUAUUCUAACCUUUGUAUAUUGGGUUAAACUGUGUUAAAUUAAAAGAUAUUCGUGUUGAUAUCUGGAAUUGCGCGUGUGUAUACAAAAAGUUUUCUUCCUUCCAUACAUCGCUUUUUUUUCCAUAUUAGUUUUCACAAAUUCUACCCCACACUAGUAAUUUUUUAUUGUAUUAAUUAAGUAAGUAAUCAGUAGUAAAACUGAUGACAAAAAGAAUAAUUUUUCUUUAUCAAGCAAUUUGAAUUUGAUUUGCAUAAUUUAGAAUUCAGAUAUUAAAAUAUACUGGCACUUUAAUUAUAAAUCUCACUUAUGUAGCAUCAUGUAAAAUUAUUAAAGAUAAUAUUUUAUUAGUUUCUAAGCUUCAUUUUUUGACA